rnacentral:rRNA from 1 species
AUGGCCGCCGUCCACAAGAGCAUUGCACCGGCGGUACUCCUCAUCCUGCCGCUGAUGCUGUCUUUCACGGCGUCGGCACGGCACUUGACUCCCACCGCGGAUUACUCGGUGCUGAGGAAGCUGCCUCGUGGGUCAGACCCCAUAACGUCUGACGUGCCCCCGCCGCCGGCCACGAGCGCGCACUUCUCGGUACUGAGGAAGGUGCCCUUUGGACCGGAUCCCUUAGUGUCCUACGCUCCACCGCCGCCGGCUACGAGAGCGCACUUCUCCGUGCUGAGGAAGGUGCCUCGUGGGCCAGACCCUAUAACGUCGGACCCACCACCACCGCCAGCCACCAGCGCACACUUCUCGGUGCUUCGGAAGGUGCCUUUCGGACCGGAUCCCAUAGUAUCUUAUGCUCCACCGCCACCGGCGACAAGCGCCUACUUCUCUGUUCUCCGGAAGGUCCCCCGUGGGCCGGACCCCAUCACGUCCGACUCACCGCCACCACCUCCGAGGGACUUCUCGGUGCUCAGGAAGGUUCCUACCGGACCAAACCCGGCGACAUCCGACUCACCGCCCCCACCUCCGAGGGACUUCUCGGUGCUCAGGAAGGUUCCUACCGGACCAAACCCGGCAACGUCCGACUCACCGCCACCACCUCCGAGAGACUUCUCAAUGCUCAGGAAGGUUCCUACCGGACCAAACCCGGCAACGUCCGACUCACCGCCGCCACCACGGCUGCCAACUGCAGCUUCUCGGGCGUGA